rnacentral:rRNA from 1 species
ACGGAAGCCAGCUACCAUGCAGUCGACGGUGAAGCGGAGCUUGCUCUGCUGGAUCAGUGGCGAACGGGUGAGUAACACGUGAGCAAUCUGCCCCUGACUCUGGGAUAAGCGCUGGAAACGGCGUCUAAUACCGGAUACGAGCUGCGAAGGCAUCUUCAGCAGCUGGAAAGAAUUUCGGUCAGGGAUGAGCUCGCGGCCUAUCAGCUUGUUGGUGAGGUAACGGCUCACCAAGGCGUCGACGGGUAGCCGGCCUGAGAGGGUGACCGGCCACACUGGGACUGAGACACGGCCCAGACUCCUACGGGAGGCAGCAGUGGGGAAUAUUGCACAAUGGGCGAAAGCCUGAUGCAGCAACGCCGCGUGAGGGACGACGGCCUUCGGGUUGUAAACCUCUUUUAGCAGGGAAGAAGCGAAAGUGACGGUACCUGCAGAAAAAGCGCCGGCUAACUACGUGCCAGCAGCCGCGGUAAUACGUAGGGCGCAAGCGUUAUCCGGAAUUAUUGGGCGUAAAGAGCUCGUAGGCGGUUUGUCGCGUCUGCUGUGAAAACCCGAGGCUCAACCUCGGGCCUGCAGUGGGUACGGGCAGACUAGAGUGCGGUAGGGGAGAUUGGAAUUCCUGGUGUAGCGGUGGAAUGCGCAGAUAUCAGGAGGAACACCGAUGGCGAAGGCAGAUCUCUGGGCCGUAACUGACGCUGAGGAGCGAAAGGGUGGGGAGCAAACAGGCUUAGAUACCCUGGUAGUCCACCCCGUAAACGUUGGGAACUAGUUGUGGGGACCAUUCCACGGGUUUCCGUGACGCAGCUAACGCAUUAAGUUCCCCGCCUGGGGAGUACGGGCCGCAAGGCUAAAACUCAAAGGAAUUGACGGGGACCCGCACAGCGGCGGAGCAUGCGGAUUAAUUUCGAUGCAACGCGAGACCUUACCAAGGCUUGACAUAUACGAGACGG